UACGUAGGGUGCAAGCGUUAAUCGGAAUUACUGGGCGUAAAGCGUGCGCAGGCGGUUAUGUAAGACAGAUGUGAAAUGCCCGGGCUUAACCUGGGAACUGCAUUUGUGACUGCAUGGCUAGAAUCUGGCAGAGGGGGGUAGAAUUCCACGUGGUAGCAGUGAAAUGCGUAGAUAUGUGGAGGAACACCGAUGGCCGGAAGGCAGCCCCCUGGGUCAAGAUUGACGGCUCAUGACACGAAAGGCGUGGGGAGCAAACAGG
rnacentral:rRNA from 1 species